GUGGGGAAUAUUGCGCAAUGGGCGAAAGCCUGACGCAGCAACGCCGCGUGAGGGAUGAAGUACGUCGAGAUGUAAACCUCUUUCAGCAGGGACGAAGCGAAAGUGACGGUACCUGCAGAAGAAGCGCCGGCUAACUACGUGCCAGCAGCCGCGGUAAUACGUAGGGCGCAAGCGUUGUCCGGAUUUAUUGGGCGUAAAGGGCUCGUAGGCGGUCUGUCACGUCGGAUGUGAAAACUCAGUGCUUAACACUGGGCCUGCAUUCGAUACGGGCAGACUAGAGUUCGGUAGGGGAGACUGGAACUCCUGGUGUAGCGGUGGAAUGCGCAGAUAUCAGGAAGAACACCGAUGGCGAAGGCAGGUCUCUGGGCCGAUACUGACGCUGAGGAGCGAAAGCGUGGGGAGCGAACAGGAUUAGAAACCCUAGUAGUCC
rnacentral:rRNA from 1 species